rnacentral:lncRNA from 1 species
UCAUCUUAAAUUCUUUCAUGGUACUAGAGUAGUAAGCUCGAUCCAAAUUUUUCUUGCAUCAUCUUUCCUUCUGCAAUCUUCCAUUAAGAGAAUAUGGUUGAUGGAACACCUAAUUAAUAAUUCUAUUAUAGCACAGACUACAAGUCCCGCUACAGCGAAUUCAAAUAACCUUUAUUAUCUGCAUUCUUCAGACACCCUAGACAUGAACCUUGUCAUAGUAUAUUUGAUGGCAAGGAUUUUUCAGGAUGGAAAAGGUAUAUUCUGAUAGCACUCUUAGCAAAGAAAAAUCUGGGGUUCAUUGAUCCCCAUGACUUCAUAACUCCGUGCUAGCAGACUAUCCCGAUCAUUGCAUAUAAAACCUAACAAGGUAUGUAUCAUCCAAACAUCUUUCGACCUUGUGUAGAUAAAUUUCACUCAUCUCCUUUCAGUCUCAGAGCAUUGCAUUACUAAUCCUUGUUCUUUGGUCUCAGAUUAACUAUUUUGAUCAAGGCUCAAGUUCAUUAGAUGAAGAUUGGUAGCUUCAAAUCUCUGUUGUUAUUCCCUUUUCCUAAUCUACACCUCUCUCCCAAGCAAUUUUAGAAUACAAACGAAUAUCUAAUGUAUACAUCCAUUAGAAAAUCAAUUGUAAUGAAGGAAAUACCAAUACAUACAAACAUAC